GGGCCAGGAGGGGCCUCCUGUGCCUACUAGUAGGCUCAGAAGGCCGUGAUCAUCCAUCCAAAUGGUUGAUCACCCACAAAUAUACAAGAGAAGACUCCAGAUCCAAUCCCAGAAUUCCUGCUCACCGGUAAUCGGAAGUCUACUGGACGAAAGCGGCAACGUUGCGAUAUUUCCUGCUUAAUAUUUUCAGAUAUGGGAAAAGCACUUAAGAUGACCCCACGUUUCAGGAACGUUAAAAUUAAGUUGGUGAGGAGGUCUAUCGCUGGCCCUGCGAAGUUUUCUUACCUCAGUUAAGGUCUUCCCCAUCCCAGCUACAAACAGACCCACCCUUCAGACCCUUCUAUUACAUCUCAACCUGCUGAACCUGAUGAUGCGACGCCGAGCUGUUCUGGGAGUGCAUACAGUAAGGCAAAGAAGAGAGAGCUUCAUGCCUGGGAUGCAGUCAAGGAUGAGAUGCUUAAGGUGUCGUUUGAAUGUUCAGCACAGAUCACUACCCAGUGUGCUGUCUGCCGAGAACAUGCUGAUUAUAGGUGCAUUGAGUGCAGCUCCACUGCAGUGUUCUGUGAGGUUUGCCUGAAGAGGAUUCACAGAAAUUUACUGCAUCUUCCUGAAAAGUGGAAUAGUGUUUACUAUGAGCCAUCCUCCCUGGGGUUAUUCCUAUAUUUACCUGAAGCCCAUGGCACCCAUGCUGUGUACACAAAGGACAUGAAGGUCAUUGUCAGCACAGGACGGCUCUGCACCGUUACAGUCACCAUGUGUGCGUGUUAACCAGAAACCUGUACUCUGCUGAGACAUGGGCUCUGACCAGCAACAGCCACAAGCCCCAGACAGACAGCCUUCUCCAUCCCUCUGCUAGAGCUUUCUGUUUCUCUGUCACUGGAGUGUCAGGCGGAUGGAGAUAUGAUUGUCACAUUGGAUGCCAACUUUGGCCUUGUGAGGAAUCAAAGCUCUGGUACAAGUGCGGUUGAUCCAUUACACAGAACCCGCAUGUUUAGAGGAAUACCUGCUAUCACAUCUUGACAGCUCAAAGCCUCAAGAGGUUAAUCAUUGUUGCAGAAUUUCAUUAGAGUCCAUGAAAUAUUAAUUAAACUUGUGAAAAAAGAUCACUAUUCCUCU